rnacentral:misc_RNA from 1 species
ACUUUGGUUGUCUUCUCCAGUGAGGUAACAAUUGUCUUACUCCUGCUUGGCUUUAUGGUAUUCAUCUUGGUUGCUUUUUUUAUGCUUUCUUUGUGUUGUUCUAAUACACUUGCAUUUUAGAAAUUGGCUUUUUUUGAACUGGUUGCAUUUUCUAAUUUAAUAUAAUUAUUUUAAUCAAAGAAAAUAUGGAUAGUACAUUGAUAUUAUUUAAUUCAUCUCUCUUUGUUGUGAUGUAAGAUUGGGCAUGCUUUAGAAGUUUAGUUGAUCAAAUGAUAUUAAAUUUGGUGUGGAGGAGAGUUAUUGAUUAGCAAGAAAAAAAGUUGUUAAUGGGUUUCUUUAAUUCGGGAUUGAAGUUGGAUGAUAGAAACCUGGAUAAAUUGUUAGUACCUUUUAGUUUACUUGAGUAGCAAAUUAUUGAGGAAUUGGAUAUUGGACCAGUUAGCAGUGAAAGUAAAAUAUGGUACAUUGUAACUAUAAGAUAUUUUUAUUGUUUGAAGUGUCAUUGUUGGUCAUGAUAUGGCUAAACCUAGGGCUAUCCACUUUUGGGAAUAGAAUCUAAGUUGCUGGAAUUCCUCGGCUUUCUUUGAGAAUUCUCUAGGAGAAUGAAUAAUAGUAGUACUAAAAGAAGUGAUGAAUGAUAACUUGAUCAAAAGUCAAAAGCAUGUGCCAUUUUGCAAAUUUAGAAUUUGUAUCAUGCAUCAGGGGGGAAGCUGUGUGCUCAAGUCCUGGGGAUUUUGUUUCUUCCUUUGCCAAGGUUUUUAAUUAUAGUCUCGUAGGGUAUUACAUAAAGGCCAAUAUGUACGAUGGCCUUUUCACUUGCAUUGUAGCAGCCCUUGCAACAGUAUAUGUAAAAAUUCUUGGUGGGCACUGACAGCCUCCCACUUUCUCAACACUUGUGUUGGUAGUGUUGAAAAUUCUAAAAAAAAAAAAAAAA